rnacentral:ncRNA from 1 species
AUGGUGUCUCCCGCAGCUGGUUCGGUCAGGUGGCGACACCUGGCCGAGGCAACAGGGAACCCGGUGCGAGACCGGGACUGCCCCGCAGCGGUGAGUGGGAACGACCGCCGUCAUGAAGCACUGGGCUCGGCUUGGAGCCUGGGAAGCGACGGCCAGUAGGCACGAGCAGGACGCCCACGAGUCCGAAGACCUGCCAGCGCGCCGCGCACCGG